rnacentral:rRNA from 1 species
CAUUAUUGAAUAAGCUUGGUUGGGUUGUUGCUGGCUCUUCGGAGCAUGUGCACGCCUAACACCAACCUUUUACCACCUGUGCACCUUUUGUAGACUUGGAUACCUCUCGAGGCAACUCGGUUUGAGGACUGCUGUGCCAACAAAAAGGUCGGCUUUCCUUACAUUUCCAAGUCUAUGUUUUUAUAUACCCCAAGUAUGUCUAAGAAUGUUAUUAAUGGGCUUAAUUGCCUUUAAAAACCUAUACAACUUUCAACAACGGAUCUCUUGGCUCUCGCAUCGAUGAAGAACGCAGCGAAAUGCGAUAAGUAAUGUGAAUUGCAGAAUUCAGUGAAUCAUCGAAUCUUUGAACGCACCUUGCGCUCCUUGGUAUUCCGAGGAGCAUGCCUGUUUGAGUGUCAUGAAAUUCUCAACCUUUUCAGCUUUUUUGGUUGAUCAGGCUUGGAUGUUGGGAGUUUGCGGGCUUCUCAGAAGUCGGCUCUCCUUAAAUGCAUUAGCGGGACCUUUGUUGCCUAGCUUUGGUGUGAUAAUUAUCUACGCC